rnacentral:tRNA from 1 species
AUAUCUUUAGUAUAAAUAGUACAUUUUCCUUCCAAGAAAAAAGUUUUCAAAAAGAUACA